rnacentral:piRNA from 1 species
UAGAAACUUGCAUGGUUGCAAAGUCAGGGG